rnacentral:lncRNA from 1 species
UCUUUUAUCGUGAGUCCCUACAGGAUCGAGGUCAAGGUUAACUCGUUGAAUCUCAUCACUAUCAUAUGAUAGAAUUAUUCAAUUCGAGUCUGAUGUAAAAUUUAAUAGAAAUAUCUUUCUAUCUUUCACAAUGCCAUGGCCAUGGGCUUAUGGACUCGAUCUUAUGAUCUACAUAGGACCACUCCUUUAUCGAGGUCGAUAGAUCACAUCUUGGUACAAUCCAAAUCCUACAAUGUAAAUACUACAGCCAACAUACACCUCAAGAUUCUAUAUGGCU